rnacentral:rRNA from 1 species
GACGAACGCUGGCGGCGUGCUUAACACAUGCAAGUCGAACGGAAAGGCCCUGCUUUUGUGGGGUGCUCGAGUGGCGAACGGGUGAGUAACACGUGAGUAACCUGCCCUUGACUUUGGGAUAACUUCAGGAAACUGGGGCUAAUACCGGAUAGGAGCUCCUGCUGCAUGGUGGGGGUUGGAAAGUUUCGGCGGUUGGGGAUGGACUCGCGGCUUAUCAGCUUGUUGGUGGGGUAGUGGCUUACCGAGGCUUUGACGGGUAGCCGGCCUGAGAGGGUGACCGGCCACAUUGGGCCUGAGAUACGGCCCAGACUCCUACGGGAGGCAGGAGUGGGGAAUAUUGCACAAUGGGCGGAAGCCUGAUGCAGCAACGCCGCGUGCGGGAUGACGGCCUUCGGGUUGUAAACCGCUUUCGCCUGUGACGAAGCGUGAGUGACGGUAAUGGGUAAAGAAGCACCGGCUAACUACGUG